UGGAGAGAAACUUAUGUGGUGUCCUGGU
rnacentral:piRNA from 1 species